rnacentral:rRNA from 1 species
GAUGAACGCUUGCGGCGUGCCUAAUACAUGCAAGUCGAGCGAACAGAUGAGGAGCUUGCUCCUCUGACGUUAGCGGCGGACGGGUGAGUAACACGUGGAUAACCUACCUAUAAGACUGGGAUAACUUCGGGAAACCGGAGCUAAUACCGGAUAAUAUAUUGAACCGCAUGGUUCAAUAGUGAAAGACGGUUUUGCUGUCACUUAUAGAUGGAUCCGCGCCGCAUUAGCUAGUUGGUAAGGUAACGGCUUACCAAGGCAACGAUGCGUAGCCGACCUGAGAGGGUGAUCGGCCACACUGGAACUGAGACACGGUCCAGACUCCUACGGGAGGCAGCAGUAGGGAAUCUUCCGCAAUGGGCGAAAGCCUGACGGAGCAACGCCGCGUGAGUGAUGAAGGUCUUCGGAUCGUAAAACUCUGUUAUUAGGGAAGAACAAAUGUGUAAGUAACUAUGCACGUCUUGACGGUACCUAAUCAGAAAGCCACGGCCAACUACGUG